GCAAGGCUGAAACUCAAAGGAAUUGACGGGGGCCCGCACAAGCGGUGGAGCAUGUGGUUCAAUUCGACGCAACGCGAAGAACCUUACCCAGGCUUGAACAGCGAGUCACAUCCGGCGAAAGCCGGCUCCCGCAAGGGGACUCGUAGAGGUGCUGCAUGGCUGUCGUCAGCUCGUGUCGUGAGAUGUUGGAAAAAGUCCCGCAACGAGCGCAACCCUUGUCCUCUGUUGCCAUCAGGUUAUGCUGGGCACUCUGAGGAGACUGCCGGUGAUAAACCGGAGGAAGGUGGGGAUGACGUCAAGUCAGCAUGGCCUUUAUGUCUGGGGCUACACACGUGCUACAAUGGCCGGUACAAACCGUCGCGAUACCGCAAGGUGGAGCUAAUCGGAGAAAGCCGGUCUCAGUUCGGAUUGCAGCCUGCAGGUAGGGCUGCAUGAAGUUGGAAUCGCUAGUAAUCGCGGAUCAGCACGCCGCGGUGAAUACGUUCCCGG
rnacentral:rRNA from 1 species